UGAAAUAGCUCAGCUGGUAGAGCAACGCCCUCGUAACGCGUAGGUCGCAGGUUCGAAUCCUGUUUUCAGC
rnacentral:tRNA from 1 species